rnacentral:lncRNA from 1 species
GAUUUUAUUGGCGUGCUGUUUCCUUUUAGAAUUGAUGCAGUUUGCCAGAGCUUCUAACACAGCAUCUGUAAAAAUAUCAGUACAAUAAUACUACCGUGUGAGUCCUGGAAGAACUUUAUUGUAUUUAAAACAAGAAACGUGUCCAGAUACAUUUCCUGUUCUCUGACCUCCAGUCCCGCAACACAACCUUGAACACAGAGCAACUGACUCAGCUGCUCUCUCUCCACACGGGGAAGAACUGCCUGCCUGCUGCUCACUGCAUCUCUCUAUUUCCUUACAUACCUGUCAGCACCCACAGCUCUCUUUCCAGACUAUCUUCCUUUGGCUUAUAUUUAGACUUUGAAGAGUGGAUGGUUCUUAAUCUGACAGCUAUCAGAGAAGGUAGAACCUCUGACAAAUAGUAUCCUCGUUGCAUUUUCCAGGAUUUUUGUUGCUUUGCUUUUCUGCCCCUGUUACAUCUUCCAUUUGAUGUAACUCUCUGUGCUGAGGCAAAGUAAUUCUCCAUCAGCAAUGUGAGUAUGGAAUUUAUUUAAAACAUUAUAUAUGAUUUCCUGAUUUGUUAUAGGCUGUAAAUCUGGUGCUGUCCUACACUGCAUUCUUCAGUUCUUGUUUACUGAAAGAGCAUGGUUACUGUGAGUAUUCCAGCUUUCACUGCAAAAAGUGGGAAUUUCUACCUCUCCUUGUUACAAAGCAAAGCUUGAAAACAUGAUGUUGGCAACCUUAAACUCCUGAAAAUCUGGGAUUGAUGUAAUAUAAGAGAUGGGCUCAUGAUUUUUGUGAUUACACAUCACUUGAAGGGGGGGGAGGGGGGCAUUAAUUAUUUCUGACUGUUUGCAAGUGCAAAGUUUCCUCUUUGGGAAUGCUUUGUCAGUGAUGUCCUCAGACUGAUAAUAACAUCAUUUUGCUAUUAGCAUGUGUGAAUAUGAGCAGUCCUAUGAUCUAAUACAUUUCCUCUCCAGAUUUGGACUCUGAUCUUGCAAGCUGUAUGUUUUACCUGUGAAAAGUACUGCAGUGUUGACUAGUGUGCACAGGCAAGAAGCUCAUUUUACUCAUUACAAAAUCUGCCUUCAUAGAAAUCACAGUAUGUCCAAAUGCCCACGUUAUUAGCAGAAGAGGAUAUCAUGAUACAGAUUUCCCACCUGCUAACUGUUCUUUACUCCAAAAAGUCAAAGUAUGCACAACUUUCCUCGCCCUCCAUCUUGACGACCCACAGACACCGGCGUAGAAAUGAAAGGACGCCUCGAGCAGAAAAUCUGAGAGGCUGAUGCCUUUCCGUCGGUCCCGUUAGGUGGAGCUCUCAGACAAGGAGAAAUGACAUCCCACCAGGCACCCUGAGGAGUCGUUAGCACUGUAUUAUUCAGGUAUUUAUUUAUUUUUUUCCACGCCGAGAGCUUUCUCAUUUUGAAAAAGCUAAUUUCUGUCCUGCUAGAAAACUUACUGCAUGCUUUUAAAACCAGUGCGAUGCAGCAGCCCUGUCUGUACAACCUGUUUUUGUUAGCUUAACACAUCACUGAGAUGGAGCUGAAAACUUCAGAGAUGCUGUGUCACUGGGACAACAUCAGCAACGCGAAAGUCAGAGGAAUAGUUAUGGAAUUAAAGAAGCAGAGCAGAUAAAAACACUGGGUGCGGCACACAGAAGUCAGACAUUUCCAGCAAGAGCUCAGUUCUGUCCGUGGUAGUCAUCCACUGACAGCAAUGGUGCAGGGUUCAGUGGAAAAAUUAGCCAUGCAAACACGAAGGUGUAGUACAAAUUGAAACAGCGAAUCGUUUGCUAUGCGACUUUCUGCCACUUUCAGAUUGUAGUUGCUCUCUUAUCUUGAUUUUGUACCUGACAUAAAUUCCUACAAGGUACGGGGGUAGCCCUCCCUACUCCCACACAAGGAGAACAAAGGUAACCCUACACAGGUAUGAGACAGAAAAGUGAGUCCUACCAAAAAGUCGUGCAUUUUUCAAGGGUAUUGGCUCUCUUGCCAAAUGUUUGCUACGUGCAAUUGCUAAGCAAUGUCAAUAUUUUUGCUACAAAAGUGGGGGUAGUUGGAAAGAUAGGAAAGAGGAAGGAGAAGAUAAAGAACUGACAGAAAUUAGCAGAGAUCAUCCAGAUACAUAUGGAAGGAAAGAUUCAAACCAGUCUCUGCUCGACUCUACACCUUUUCUAAGAGAGACAAUUGAUUUAAUUUAAUCACUUCAACCAUGAUGAAAAUCUGCUAGCUUUAUCCUUUAUUAGGGCAGACAUGACACUCCUGUAAUAGAUUAUUUCAGUAAAGCUUAGCACAUCUCCUGCAUUUAUCCUUGAUACAAAAACAGAGUAAUUUCAUGAUCAGUACAGCACAAUGCUGUGAAGUGUUUCUGAAUAAAUGGUUGGUGUGUUUGAAUAUAGCCUGUCUAGCUCCAGUUUUGCAACAAAAACAAGUGCAGAUGCUUGAACAGCCUGAAAGCCUGCUCCAUUGUCAGACUUCUGAAAACCUGUACUCUUUUUCACACAAAGGAAACACCGUUUAGACUUCAUGCUAAAAUAAAUAAUACGCAGUGGCAGUGAGACCUGAGAACCAGCAGAUUCAUUUCUGUGUUGAAAUCAGUUGGCCAUAUUACUUGACAGACUCUGACUUUAUCCGGAUGCGCUUUCCCGAUGUAAGAAGACUUGCCCUACCAGUAAGGACUGGUGUGCUGUAAGAAGAGUCGCUCCCCAGCACUGGAGCUCUCUCCCUCACAUCCAUGUUCUUUGGCUCUAUGCAUUUCCCCAGAUAGAUAGACUUAAUUCUUGUCUCCAGUAAUUCAUUGAAAACUUGAUGCUAACGUAAGAAAGGUGUCACAGGUGAUCUUUCCUUCUUGACGUGAUAUCAUGAGCCAGGAUUGUUUUGGCUGCACUGGGCAACACAUACCAAUCGCAGUGGCUGUAGUUUCCACCAACCAGUUCAGGUGCAGGCACAAAAAGCCAGAGCUUCAGGAGCAUUUCUAAUUCUUCACUUCCCCUCUCCUGCCUUUGGGAUGGCCUUAAUGUCUGCAGGGUGUACAGACGGUUUUCCCUUCAAGCUCUCCUCUGUGGUCUGUUCAGCUUUCAAAUGACAGUGUGUAUCUGUGGUACUGAUAUGCUCUGUUCUCUGUCAUGACUUCUGCUUACCCUGAGACCCCUGACUGCAACAGAGGGAGUUCCUAUAGUCCCCGUUUCAUGGCUUCAGGCUAAGAGACUUCUUUAGCACUAUCCAGGUAACCUGUGACAGAUCAGGAGACUAAAUCUGAUUCCAGUCCAGAGCUCCAACCAUUGAACGUACUAUGCUGCAUUACACAAAUAGAUGAGUGUGGGUCCUAUUUAAGAAGAAAAAAGGGGAUGAAGGUUAUGGUAGCCUUACCCCAUUUGCCCAGGUUUCAAAGACAAGCAAGAAAAAGGGUCAAGACAGUGGAAGCUUGAAGCAUUUGAUGCCUCAUGGUGAGCCCCUGAUAAGUCCUGCAGGCAGACAAGGCAGCUGGUAAGGCACAUUAAGCAAAGCAUCACAGAAGCGUCACUCUAAUUUUCCCAGUGUAAACAAAAAAGCUCUCUCCAAAUGUGAAAUUUCUGCAUCGAGAACUUCAGUUUUUAAGAGUGUUUUUCUUUGGAUUUUUUUUUUUUCUGUCAGAAAAUUCUUAGUUAUGCACUACAUGCCCCCCUAAUUCCCACUCCAGCUUCCCACUGUCCAUGCCUCUGAAUGAGCGAGAACAGUCUGUCAUCCAUGAUUCAAUAUUUCAGGAAAGCUGAGAGUGGUUAUAAGACAGAAAAUCAAUCUUAACUAGUGAGAUUUCCAUAAAGUUCAAUUAAAAGUGUCAAGCUAUUGUGACUAGAUUUGUCAAACCGUGGGUGACGAUCUUUGCAGUGCAGCACCGUUCUUGUCUGGAGAGGAAUGCAAGAGGGGAUCCCGGUUCCCAGACUGCUGCAGGCACACCACAUUUCUGGAUACAUCUCUGCCCCUUAAUCCUGCAUCCAGAACUGAGCAGCCUCCUGGAAAGGGAGAGUUUGAGGAGAAAGCCAAUGCAAAUGCUUGUGGCUCAGAAGGAAACUGGUAUGAACUUGAUAAGGAAAAUAAUAGCAUUCACACAACAACAGUCGAGAUCUGUUACUGAUUGUGCUGCACCACUCCUUUUCUUUCAUUCAUAUGAUUCAGAACUGGUGCUUUGAAGAGAAUAUAAAUACAUUCCUCUUGACUUCUUUGUCUGUCCUUUUGGAGAAGUGCUAAGCGCUGGUUCUGUGUAUCCCAGUAUGGUUUCUUUUUUAAUAUCUAUUUCAGAAAACACACCCCUACUGCAGCACAGUGCAGCCUAUAGCAAUGAAGAGGAAUAAUAACAAAAUCCUCAAAGACAGAUCAGGCAUUCUGUAUGCCGUACUUCGGUCAAACUCGAAUCUGAAGUGCUUCUAUAAAUCAUCAAAACCACAUUUUCUCCCUCUCUUGCAAUAGGUUAUGUGACAUUACAAAUUCCUGCUGGUAAUUAUGUAGGAAUACGCUCAGUUGGCUGAAUUCAUUAUACUUCUUAAAGUAGCACUCGUAUUUGCUCUGCAUAACUGCAGUCUCCCAUUCAUUUAGUAACAGUCUCCUCCUAUUAGCCAUCUCAUUUUAACAGUGGGUGUGGACAGCUCCGGAAGGUGGGUGCUUGGUGAUAGCUGCACCAUGUGGUGACAGUGGAGGCUCUCAGCCAAGUGACCUGCUCAAAACCUGGCAAUGCCACACAUUCCCUUAAGCGAGUGCUUCUGCCAUGACCAGAAGCAAUGGGGGCCCUGAGAAAAGACCACAAACGCCCUUCUACAGCACAAGGCAGGACUAAUAGUGUAUGGUCAGCAUCAACAGAACCGCAGGGCCUACUACAACAGGUAAUUAUCUGAUUCAUGGAGUUAAUUUCUUUUGGCUUGUCACUAUGACUUCCUACUGCACAGAAAGAGGAGAGAGAGUCAAAGAUAAACAUGUGCCUCUUACAAAAUGAAGAAUUCUAUAGGAGAAAGCCCAAAUACAAUUAAAAGAUAGCAGUAUGUAACAAUUAACCACGUCCAGCCUUUCCUCAUCAUUAGCAAAAUAUAGAUGGAAGACAGACCUAGCUCGCUCACAGCAGAAUAUAUUUGGCAUCACCUUUAAACUAUACACACAACAUAGCCUUCUAUUGAUCCCAUUGAUCUCUUUCACCUUAUAUAUCAGUUAUCAUUUUUUGAAAGGAUAUUUUUCUGUUGCUUAAAUAACAGCUUGAUUGCUGGAGCCAAUUUCCACCACAACAAAACUGUUUACCUCACUGUAUGAGUGAGUGGGGCUGUUAGUCCUGAAGGCUUGUUGUGUAGAUGCUGGCUAGAGAAAAAAUGAUUUCAGGUUGAGUGGAGCCCGUUCUAACCUCCAAUAUGCAAAUCUUUACUUCCUUGUUGGUUCUCUAAAGGUGCAGAAAAGAAGAGAAAGCUUCCUCCCCCAGCUCUGAUAUUGAAUUCACCUCUGAUUUUGAUUCCCAAUGAAGAUUUUUUUUCUUUCCAAAUGUGUGGCAUAAAGUAAAAUCUUGUACUUCUGUGCACAUAAAAAAUCCAUAAUGCAGGGUAUUGGUAGAAUGCUUGGGAACCACAACCAGAAUGAGUUAGAUUAGGUAGGAAGAGACGGAAAGGGAGGGAAAGGAAAGGGAAGAGAAAGGUCAUUGUAAUUGAUUAACUCAAGUCUCUCUUGUUGUACUAAAGGAGGAAGGACUGAUGAGCAUAUUUGAAAGGACUCAAAGAGAAAGCUCCUUAUUUAUGGAAUCCACCACUGUAGCAGUCAGAGGGAGAGGUCAUGAAAAUAUUGCUCUUUCAAAAUCCAAUGGAACCGUAGCUGAGCCAUAAUAAGUACCGGUGCAGAUGGGCAUAUGCCUAACAUAAGCUCUCCUCUGUCCUCUGAUCUGAAAGAUAAGCACUAAAAGUGCUAAUGGAAGGUUAGGCUGGAAAUACCUCCUCUCACCCUCCUUUUCUCUAACUUGCUUGCUGAGUUUAUUCCGUGUUUUCAAAUUCCUACAGAUAAAAUUGAAGAACAAAAAUGCAGCUGGGGUUCAUGCAAGUGGCAAUUUGAAGAGUACCUUUAUUCUCAAACAGCUUGACUUCUCUUGUCGGGGAGAGUAUCUGUCAAACCACACGUUUCUCCUUCCUGAGCUCAAAUAACAGGUGGCUGAAAUCUGAAAAGGGCUGAUUUUCAAGAACGUGUUGUAUUUAGCAAGUUAUAUUUACAACCAAAUAGCAAUGCAAUCAUGUCUACUCGCUGCUCCUCUGGGACAGAAUUAAGAAAUAUCACCCAAAUGUGAACAGCAGAUCCGUGAUACAGGCAGGAGUGGGACUGGUCCUUCUCAAGUCACAACUCCACUGUUUAACUACAGGGCCAUAAAACUUCCUUUCCUAGUCUGCUAGCAAUGCCACGAUCCACUCAGACAAAGAGUGAUAUCAAGAAUAAGUCCAUCUGGCAUCAGCCACAGCCCAUAUGAGAUGAAGAUCAACAGCCUGGGAAGAGGAGUGAACUCAGUGCCUAGGGCUGGGCAGUGCUAGCACAAGCUGUCUUCCCCCUUUGCUGAGGGGGGCUGUCAGGUUUGGAUCAGCAGCAGAUGCCCCAGGGGAUUCUGAAUAACCCUACAGGCAAACAGAAUGGGCCAUCAUCCUCUUUUGUCAUGAAAAGGUAGGAGAUUCACUUCUGCAGCUUCAAGAGAAAUUGGACCUGAAAACUGGAACUCCAGCAUCCCAGGAGGGUACCACUGACGUAAUGUAGCAUGACAAUACAUAACUCCCAUUGGCUUCCUGCGUUGGUGCUCACAAGUGUUCUACGCAGAAAGUCUUUUCUUCAGAACUGUGUUGUGCUGAGGACUGAAUUAAUCUGUUAUUUAAUGUGGCUACUGAGCUUUAUGUUCUGCAAAUUACCAUUACUUGAUAUUUCUUCUUGCUGUGAAUUUUUUUGUCGAGUUUGGACUUGGUGAUCCUUAUGGGUCCUUUCCAGUGUGGGUUAUUCUAUGAUUUUAUGAUUUCCAAACUGUAAAGAUUUAUACUUUCUCAUGUUGUUUGAUCGUUUGCUUUUAAUACAUCUCUUCAUCUGCUGAAUAAUGCAGGUAGAUUUUGGAUUUUCUCAUGACUUUGCCCCACCAAAGUAGCUAACUAGGGUGAAGUCCAUUAAUUGAUAUCACUCAAUUAAUUAUUCUGAGAACUCAGAACCUGGUUUCUGGCUCUGUCUUCUGAAAGGAAAAUCUGUGUUGUUUGUUUGAUUGCUCCUCAAGCUGCAUGUGCCUUCCCAGGCUUUGAAGCUAUGCCCAUCACUGCAGAACAUGAGAUGACUGAUAACGCCCUUCUCAUUCACAGAACAGACACUGUUCAGCAACAACAUGUUUUGGCCUAAAAAGUGGUGUUUGAGACCUGAUACGUAAUCUAUGAAUUCGUCCAAUCUGGUCAGUGCCCCUUGCUUUGGUGUUCUUAAGAUAUAGAUGCACAUCCACUCAGAAAAUCACUGCUGCCCCAGGCAGUGGCCAGGCCAUCUCUAUCAGCUCUUGGUCACUGGGAACGUUUCAAAGUUGCUCUGGAAACAGAAGGCUCUGAAACUACACAGUGUUAUUCCCAUGAACAACGCACUGCCCUACAGUUUGCUCUGUUCACAGCCAGCUACUCUUCUAUUAGACUCUUUUUUUUUAUUAUUAUUAUUUGCCCACAAAUUUUGUUAUACUUUCUUGUAAGCAGUCAAAAUUCAAGUUUUGUUGAAAUCAGCAAUAAAAAUUCUGAAGCAAAAAAUACCAAUAAAUCUAGUUAUUUAGCCAAUAAACAGAGGUAGGCUAAACUAGUAUGCUCUGAUCCCUGUGCAGCAGUGCCAAGCAGGUGGCCAUACACAAUUUAGCUCACUGACGAUUGCCUGCAGUGUGACCAACGCAUGGCAGUCCUUGGUGCAGACACAUCCAGGAGCAGCUGGCCGAGGGCAUUCCCUGGGUAUUUUGGGGCAUGGUCCUGGCACCUGUUCUCCAAUGAAUUGUUCUUUAUCACUUUAAUAAACCGGGAUAUACAUUCUUACAUUUUGGCUUCUAAAAUUCCCGUGAAACCACUGAAAGCUGAGCAUGCGGUGGAAGACUGUAUGUAGGAAUGUUCAGCUUCUGUUGGACAUUCUUGAUGGGAAUCUCCUUUAGUGAACACUGAGAUGUAUGAACAACAAGCCUUUCACCGAUACCCUGAAGUUGCAGGCAAAAGCCACUGUCUUAAAAAAGAAAGGGAUUAGGCUAGCUGGAUGUUUUGGUUGGUAAAGGAGUUGAAAAACAUUAUUUAUUUCAGCAUGAACUCACCGGACCUCUGCCCCUGUUUUCACUGCAGAGAGACACAGGAUGGAUUCAUUUUGAUUCUGUUCUCAGGCGAUGGUAAGAGGAUCGUCUCUGUUGAAUAGCCCUGACUGUUGUGACACCAAGUGUCCUCCACUAGCACAGAGCCCUGUUUGUUCCCCCAGCCCCAGCGACACGCUGGGUCAGACUCCCUCCAUUGGGGCUGCACGCAUUCGGCAGAUCUUUUCACCAUCAGUGGGGUUCAGGGGGGACGCAACGUGGCUGACACUGGGACUACAGACCCUGGGCAGCUGGGGAGCAAUGAUGGUGGGCCCAGCAGGGCAAUGCCCCCUCCUGCCAGUUUCCUUCUCUGAGCAACCUGUUCAUCGGGGUCCGUGUAGGUGUGCAAUGCUGUGUGACCGUGGAUUUUUGCACCCAACCUCUGUGCGCAUUGUUGACUGCAGUGGCACCACUGCUGCAGCACAUUUUCAAAGAGAACUGAAGAAAACAAAA